rnacentral:rRNA from 1 species
GACGAACGCUGGCGGCGUGCCUAAUACAUGCAAGUAGAACGCUGAAGAGAGGAGCUUGCUCUUCUUGGAUGAGUUGCGAACGGGUGAGUAACGCGUAGGUAACCUGCCUUGUAGCGGGGGAUAACUAUUGGAAACGAUAGCUAAUACCGCAUAACAAUGGAUGACACAUGUCAUUUAUUUGAAAGGGGCAAUUGCUCCACUACAAGAUGGACCUGCGUUGUAUUAGCUAGUAGGUGAGGUAAUGGCUCACCUAGGCGACGAUACAUAGCCGACCUGAGAGGGUGAUCGGCCACACUGGGACUGAGACACGGCCCAGACUCCUACGGGAGGCAGCAGUAGGGAAUCUUCGGCAAUGGGGGCAACCCUGACCGAGCAACGCCGCGUGAGUGAAGAAGGUUUUCGGAUCGUAAAGCUCUGUUGUAAGUCAAGAACGGGUGUGAGAGUGGAAAGUUCACACUGUGACGGUAGCUUACCAGAAAGGGACGGCUAACUACGUGCCAGCAGCCGCGGUAAUACGUAGGUCCCGAGCGUUGUCCGGAUUUAUUGGGCGUAAAGCGAGCGCAGGCGGUUUGAUAAGUCUGAAGUUAAAGGCUGUGGCUCAACCAUAGUUCGCUUUGGAAACUGUCAAACUUGAGUGCAGAAGGGGAGAGUGGAAUUCCAUGUGUAGCGGUGAAAUGCGUAGAUAUAUGGAGGAACACCGGUGGCGAAAGCGGCUCUCUGGUCUGUAACUGACGCUGAGGCUCGAAAGCGUGGGGAGCGAACAGGAUUAGAUACCCUGGUAGUCCACGCCGUAAACGAUGAGUGCUAGGUGUUGGAUCCUUUCCGGGAUUCAGUGCCGCAGCUAACGCAUUAAGCACUCCGCCUGGGGAGUACGACCGCAAGGUUGAAACUCAAAGGAAUUGACGGGGGCCCGCACAAGCGGUGGAGCAUGUGGUUUAAUUCGAAGCAACGCGAAGAACCUUACCAGGUCUUGACAUCCCGAUGCUAUUUCUAGAGAUAGAAAGUUACUUCGGUACAUCGGUGACAGGUGGUGCAUGGUUGUCGUCAGCUCGUGUCGUGAGAUGUUGGGUUAAGUCCCGCAACGAGCGGAACCCCUAUUGUUAGUUGCCAUCAUUCAGUUGGGCACUCUAGCGAGACUGCCGGUAAUAAACCGGAGGAAGGUGGGGAUGACGUCGAAUCAUCAUGCCCCUUAUGACCUGGGCUACACACGUGCUACAAUGGUUGGUACAACGAGUUGCGAGUCGGUGACGGCGAGCUAAUCUCUUAAAGCCAAUCUCAGUUCGGAUUGUAGGCUGCAACUCGCCUACAUGAAGUCGGAAUCGCUAGUAAUCGCGGAUCAGCACGCCGCGGCGAAUACGUUCCCGGGCCU